rnacentral:rRNA from 1 species
GACGAACGCUGGCGGCGUGCUUAACACAUGCAAGUCGAACGGUGAAGCGCCUUCCUUUUUGGUGGGUGUGGAUGAGUGGCGAACGGGUGAGUAACACGUGAGUAACCUGCCCCCUUCUUCUGGAUAACCGCAUGAAAGUGUGGCUAAUACGGGAUAUUCUGGGUCUGUCGCAUGAUGGGUCUGGGAAAGAUAUUGUUUCGGUGGGGGAUGGGCUCGCGGCCUAUCAGCUUGUUGGUGGGGUGAUGGCCUACCAAGGCGGUGACGGGUAGCCGGCCUGAGAGGGUGGACGGUCACACUGGGACUGAGACGCGGCCCAGACUCCUACGGGAGGCAGCAGUGGGGAAUAUUGCACAAUGGGCGCAAGGCUGAUGCAGCGACGCCGCGUGAGGGAUGGAGGCCUUCGGGUUGUGAACCUCUUUCGCCAGUGAAGCAGGCCUGCCUCGUUUGUGGGUGGGUUGACGGUAGCUGGAGAAGAAGCGCCGGCUAACUACGUG